rnacentral:misc_RNA from 1 species
AAGUCGUAACAAGGUCUCCGUUGGUGAACCAGCGGAGGGAUCAUUACAGAGUUGCAAAACUCCCACAAACCAUCGCGAAUCUUACCCGUACGGUUGCCUCGGCGCUGGCGGUCCGGAAAGGCCCUCGGGUCCUCCCGGAUCCUCGGGUCUCCCGCUCGCGGGAGGCUGCCCGCCGGAGUGCCGAAACUAAACUCUUGAUAUUUUAUGUCUCUCUGAGUAAACUUUUAGAUAAGUCAAAA